UCAUUUUGAAAUAAAGUUGAUUCAAAAAAGAUCAGUUGGAGAAGUGACAGUUGGAGCUGCAGAGAGAGGAGAGCGGAAGCUGAGAGUCUCGUCCAUUUAUUUGCCGUGUCUACCUUUUGGAGGGGAGGUCGCAUCCUGAUUUAGGUCCUCAGAUUUGCCGGCCGUGUUUGGUGUAGAUGCUGCAAAUGUACUGCCGAAAAUUGCGGGUCCUGCACUUUGUAAGGCCGAGAAGCCGCACCCCACAGAGCUGACACUUGCAGAGUUCACACACAACAGCAGUGCAACGCCCGUCCGUCACUCCUGGAGCGUCUCCACGCCCUCCGCGUAUAAACAGUCUUCCAGCAGGAAAGUUUCCAUUGUUUUUCCCCAUCUGUC